GUAUUGGGGCACUCGGCAAUCCGUUCUGCAGACCAAGUUCCGAAGGUGUAAGGGGACUUCGCCACUUGCCAGCCUGGGUUUUUGAUUCCACCUAUCCUCGCCGGCGAUUACGUUUAUCUGUUGGUCUUCGUUUUCUUCUCUGUUCAAUCGGAGAAACUCUUCUCAGACACCAAACCUUCAAGAUAACCUCAAAUGUCUGGAAGGAACCGUGGUCCCCGAGAAGCAAUCAAUGAUCGGCGGGGUUACCCACCUGAAGCGCUCUUUAUUCCAGGGCUUCCAUUGCCCCGCGCACCUAUGCCGCCUCAUCCGGCUCUAUUGGAAGAGGAGCUUGAAAUGCAGCAUGCAGAAAUCCGGAGGCUUGUGGCAGAUAAUCGAAGGCUGCUUGAGGAUCGAAUGGCAUUUCAGCGUGACCUUGCAGCUACAAAAGAGGAACUGCAUAGGAUGAAUCUUGCCAUUGCUGACAUUCAUGCAGAACGAGAGCUGCGUGCAAGGGAAUUCAAUGAGAAAAGACAGAAGUUGGAAUCUGAUAUUCGGGCAGCUAAGCCCUUGAAGAAUGAGGCUGUACAAUUGCGAACUGAAGUUCAGCAACUUAAGAAUGUUAACAAGGAUCUUGAAGCGAAGGUUCAGACACUUACCCAAGAUCUUCUGAGGUUAAAAACUGACAAUCAACAAAUUCCUAUGUUGAGGGCUGAGAUCGAUGGAAUACACCAAGAGCUUUUGCGUGCUAGAACCAUGGUUGAUUAUGAAAAGAAAGCAAACAUAGAGAUGAUGGGACAGAGACAGGCAAUGGAGAAAAAUUUGGUUUCCCUGGCUCGCGAAGUUGAGAAAUUACGUGCUGAGUUAUCUAGUUCCAAUAGCAGACAGUGGGGUGCUGGUGGGACGUAUGGGACGAAGUUUGGCAGCCCUGAGGGGCGUUUUCCUGCUCCAUAUGCUGAUGGAUAUGGUGAUCAUAUGGGAGGCACUUCAUGGGGACAUCAUGAGAAGGCUCGCAUGAAUCGUCGUUGAGGUCUUGGGAUUGCUGUUGGAGAUGAAGAGCAGCUUUCUCCGUCACUCUUUGAGUUUCAGUCAAGGAAUGGCUGAAACAACUUAUUAAUCUAUGUUCACAUCACUGGUCAUUUAUCUGAAUAUAUUAUUGGAUGCUUGGAAUCUUGUCAAGACUGGUGGCCUAGAAAAAAGCCUGUGUCUUUUUUACGCUACUGGGGGAGAUAAAUUUCUUGAAGACCAAAAGGCUUUUGAUUAUUUCGGGGAGCAAAAUCUGAAGAUGCUUAUUCCGGGAUGAAAAUUUGUCAAGAGCCCAUAGAAGGGUAUGUCUUGCCUGGUAGCGAUGGAGUCGUGUAAAAAAUAACAAAGGAAGACCGCAUGGUAUUUUAUUGUUUCAAGGAGCGAAUUCUGAUCAUGCUGAUUCGGGAAUGAAGAAUGAUCAGCCAUGUUGUUCAAUCAUGUUUUGCCCACUGGUGAAUGGUGAGGAAUCACUUAGGAAAGAGACAAAAAUUAUUGUUUGCAGGAAAAAAAAAAAGAUCCAAGGGUUACAUAUACGGGGAUGAAAAUGUUUUUUUAUCACGAAGGGCAAUCCUUUUCAUUAAGACUGGGUCUCCUGACCGCCAUUUUUGCAAGGAUACAUAAUUUUUUUUUUUAAUAAAAUAAAUUUUAAGUGAGAUAGAUUCCCAGAAGUGAUCGAAGCUGGGGCGUGCUUCUGGAUUCGAAAAAUGGUUGUUAUUUAUUGAUUGUUUACCGAUAAUAUUUGUUUAUCCUUUUCUGUUUUU